rnacentral:rRNA from 1 species
AGAGUUUGAUCCUGGCUCAGAACGAACGCUGGCGGCAGGCCUAACACAUGCAAGUCGAACGCCGUAGCAAUACGGAGUGGCAGACGGGUGAGUAACACGUGGGAACGUGCCCAAAGGUACGGAACAACUCCGGGAAACUGGAGCUAAUACCGUAUGUGCCCGAGAGGGGAAAGAUUUAUCGCCUUUGGAUCGGCCCGCGUCUGAUUAGCUUGUUGGUGAGGUAACGGCUCACCAAGGCGACGAUCAGUAGCUGGUCUGAGAGGAUGGCCAGCCACACUGGGACUGAGACACGGCCCAGACUCCUACGGGAGGCAGCAGUGGGGAAUAUUGGACAAUGGGCGCAAGCCUGAUCCAGCCAUGCCGCGUGAGUGAUGAAGGCCCUAGGGUUGUAAAGCUCUUUCGCCAGGGACGAUAAUGACGGUACCUGGAUAAGAAGCCCCGGCUAACUUC